ensembl:lncRNA
UAAAGCUAUUUUUUAGAGGUUUCUUUUAAUAAUGAUUGACAAACAAGUAAUUCAAAACAUGAACAACAACAGAAAAAAAAAUAAUUAACUGCAUGAAAAUUACUCUUUCUCAUUGAUAGUUAUGAGAAAGAAUGCAUAAGUACAGUGGGACAUUUGGUUAAGAUUUUCUUCUUAAGAAAAAAAUAAUCUUACAUGUUUUUCCUCUAGAGAUUGAGAAGAGAUCCGAAGAUCUCAACAUACACAAGUCUGCAAUUAAAGACCACCAGCUGCUGUGUGACAGUGUGCGAUGGAAACGACCGUGACAGACGGGUGAGUGACAGAUGCGAGAGUGAUGGAGUGUGCUUCACUACUUCAGACUUCCU